CCAAGGCUAAUAGAGAGGAGACGGCAGCUGAUUGGCUGCUGCUGUCAACCUGAGAACUUAGGGAAAAGAAGUGGACAAAAGUGAGGGCGAGCAUCAUCACUGCCUGGGAACGCCCACAGAGUUCAGGAGAACAGCAGAAGCUUAUACCGGACAUUAUGGGUGCUUAGAGCAACAGGGCAGACCAAAACAAAAGAAAAGGCUGGAAAAGAGAUCAGAGAUCAUUACCAAAUUGUCCUUGCGGGCACAGCGAAAUGGACAAAGUGGACACUGAUGGCUUUUUAAACCUGUGUGAAUCACCAUGUGCCUUUUCCAAUAACUUUUCCGUUUUAUUACUAGUCCACAGAUGGGGCAUUGGAAAGGCUUUCCAACUUCUUCUUCCGGAGCUUUCACAAGAGAAACCAAGAAAGUUAUUCUAACAAGUUUUCUGGCAAGAACACUCAACUGCUUUGCAUGAUGAGAUGAAGGAGAAAACUGUAGACCUGGUGGAUCUUCCCUGCCAUUUGUAGACACUUCAGAUGCCAGCUGAACAGAGCCAGCUUCC